GCGCCCGUAGCUCAGUCUGGAUAGAGCAAUGGACUUCUAAUCCAUGGGCCGCAGGUUCGAAUCCUGCCGGGCGCA
rnacentral:tRNA from 1 species